ensembl:lncRNA
CUGUGGUCCUGUUGUUUGGAACAAGCAUCCCACUGACUUGAGAGGCUCUCAGUGGAUUAUGAGGCACUGUUGAAAGAACACAAAGAUGUGAAGCAAAAGCUGGAAGCCUCUAAAGCCAGGAGCAAAACUCUAUCUGCUGAAGUCAAAACUCUGAAGCAUCAAAUAUCAACCCUGAUGGAGAAGGGGAAACACGAUGAUGAGUUCGUGGCUGCUUUGAUGAAGCAGCAGGCCCAGAUGCAAACGGUAUUAAAACGACUCAGCCAAAAACAAAACGUACAGAGCAAGGUGAUGCAGCAGAGUGUAGGACAACAGCUGAGCAACAUACCUUCAGAGCACAGUGCUAUCGUCCAGAGAUUUAAGGAGAUACUUGCUGAGAAAGAUGCCAUUAUCAAAAAACUACAGAAAAGCCAGCAAUUCUCUGAUAAGGUGUUGAAGAACGAUGAUGUGCACAGACAGCCCAGCAUCAGGAUAACAAACUGUACUUCUCCUGUUUCCCCAGAAGAGGGAGACAUUACCAAUAGAAUUCCAUCUUCAGGUUCAAUUUCUAAAUUUGGUCACAAACUGGUGCUGCCAGCUGUGGGAAGUGGCAUAGAAUUCACAGAGAAAGUGAUGAGCCACACAUGUUUGGAGGCACAAGUACCAAGAGGAGCACCACACGCCAGUGAUCCUGGAGGAGUUUGAGAGGACAAAAUUAGAUUAAACUCUGUCGGCAGGAGCAGAGUCCCUGAGCACCAUGGAGUCUCUGAGCAACAGGAACUGUCCACAGACAAACCUGAACAGACUGUCCAGCAGUCCAGCUGGCAUUUGUAAACACUUUAUUUCUAACUUUGACAACACUGCCUUAAACUGGUUCUGGUUCAAGAGUUUUCUUUCUCCAACCAUAAGAUUUAACCAGAUGACAGAAAUAAUGAUGUGCGGCAGUAGACACGCUACAGACAGCAGUGCUCGUUCUGCCCGUCACAUCGGGGUUGAGCGGAGAUGUUCAUGUUGUUCUUGUAUGUUGUCUCUUGGCUGGUCAUUCAGCUGGAGGAAACGCGGGCGCUGAGGGCAUCCCUAAAGAGCACUCUCCACCAUGACCUGCAGCUUUCAGUGACGUGAUGAGACAAGUCAGGCAUGUUUUCCUGGAGGCUCUGUGACAGCACAGACAAGACACUAACCAGGGGAACUGGCUGGUCCCUGCUCAGCCUCACUUCCAGCUGAGCCCUACCUUCUCCUGUCACAUGUGACAAACAGCAGCCUGCAGGAGAAAGAAAAAAAAAAAACUCUCCUCUUCAGCCACACAAACAUUAUAUGCAUCUCUGACUUUCUCUCUAUUUGAGCCCCGAAAGACAGUUUGUGACGUAAGGUCGGGUGACCUCGGUUUAACGACUUAAGUACCUUGAGUAGAAUAGCUUUCAACUUAACCCUGAUGGCAUCAGACAAGUGUCCCGAGUGAUUGCAGGAGCGGUCGGCACUGAUAAGACGUCUCCCCGUGGUUUCACAUCUCGUCUGCUCGCUGUUUUAUAAAUGUCACUGUCACAUUUUAUUAAAUAUAUGUUUGUCUUUCCUCGGCUGGUAACCUUAAAUGCAUUACAGGUAUCGAGACCAAUGCUGUCUGUUUUCAAAGCAAAUAUUUUCUGUAAACCAAAGAAACAUCCAAAUUAAUCAGUGAAAAGGAACCGAACCCUCACCAAAUAUUUUCGAUACAUUGUUUACCUUCAUGGCGAUGACUUUGGUUGAUUUUUUUUCUUUCUUUUUUUUAAGGUUUUUUUUGGCUCCAUACAGUUGUAAAUAAAUGUGCGACAGGCCAGGCUAAAUAGUAAUCACCGCAGUUAAGUUCCCAAAACGUUUCAAUAUUCCUAUUAAAUAUUAACGCUAAUCAUUUCUGACUUGAAACCAGUUUUGUGGGAAUAGCGGUUGAAAAUAACUGCAAACUCAAGCUGCACAAACUCCCACUGUAGUCCUCUAUACAUUCCCCAGAGCAGGUCACACAUGUACAGUAUAUGGCUCUUAAUCCAAAGGUUGUCUGGAUAUGCCCAGUGGGAGUGGCCCUUACAUUCAUACUAACAUCCGAGUUAUUUUCUUCCGAUGUAGCCAAAAGGGUUUCAGCAGAACAUCCCCCCCUUUCCUCCCUCUCCACAUCACGCUUAAUUUAAAACCAUGGCUGAGUUAGUGUGCUGCUUCAAAUACCGCACUAUGUCUUCCAGGACCCUGUGGGAGAUUGGCAGGUCCCCAUUGGACUGAGCGAGAAAGUGCCACAAGACAAAAAUAUCAGAGUUUGGACAUGAUGAAGAAAGCCUUUAUGCUCAGAGUAACAAAAAACAGCUUGUGUUUGAAUACCUCCUGGAUGGAAGGUGAGGCGCUCUUUAAUGCAACAGAGUGAGACGUGUCACCGUAAGAGCAAGAUGAGAGACGAGCAGAUGAAGAUUGCCAGAUACGUAUCAAGUGAGGAAAUGUGCGUCAGAAAGGGUGUUGAUGGAGCAAAUGCUUGUCACGGUCCCUAACUGCGUCUGAUUGCCAGGAAAGCGUUCAACUUCAUAUGGGUUUUUUUUGGGGGGGGGGGUCAUUUUCGAACUUUGCCACAAAACUGUACUUUAUAUGAAGCCAGCGUUUGAGCAUUUUGUCAAACCUGUAAUCGUAUUUAAUUUUAACGCAGUGCAUGACUGCAAGAGGGACAUCAUUUCCAUCCUUUUUCUGUGAGCUUUUCUUUUUCAGACAUGUUAUACUGAAGUUUCAGUUGACCUAAUAUCAGGGAUUAAUGUGACUACUCAUGUUGACUUCAGUUAUUUAAGAGUGUCAUCACUUUCAAAUAAAUUACACCUCGCCAGACAAUUUUAUUAUUGUUUUAUGUAGCUGUAUUACGCAGAAAGGUGUAGAUUUAUUCCAAAAUGCCCAAUAACCCACCAAACCAAACACAAACUUAUGUAAAC